rnacentral:rRNA from 1 species
UACGUAGGGUGCGAGCGUUGUCCGGAAUUAUUGGGCGUAAAGAGCUCGUAGGCGGUGUGUCACGUCGUUCGUGAAAACCUGCAGCUUAACUGUGGGCGUGCGGUCGAUACGGGCAUCACUGGAGUUCGGCAGGGGAGACUGGAAUCCCUGGUGUAGCGGUGAAAUGCGCAGAUAUCAGGAGGAACACCGGUGGCGAAGGCGGGUCUCUGGGCCGAUACUGACGCUGAGGCGCGACAGCGUGGGGAGCAAACAGG